UUCAAAAACUUUUUUCUUCCUUUCUUUCUUCUUCUUCCCAAAAGAUAAACACAUUCCUUCCCAGAAACACAAAUCGACCCCAAUCUCUUCUCCAUUAAAAUCAUCUCUGAUUACCUCCGUUUUCGAACAGAGAAGAUAGAUUGAUUCACAUAAACCCUGAACAAUUUAUAGAUACGAAUCAAAACCCUAGACAGAAUUUUACUCAGAAAUCAAAACCCUUAAUGUCUUCGAAUUCUCCAAAUUAGGGUUCUUGAAGAGAUGAUGAUGAUUAGGGUUUGCUGUGAAUCCCAGAGAAGACAAUUGAAGUAAUCUGGGGUGAUUUUGAAACUAAAGAAGAAGAGUUAAAAAAUGGGUGUUGAUAUUUGAGUUGAUUGAGAGUCUGCUGGAUAAUGCAGGUGAGCGAUUUCAGUAUUGCUCAAAGUUGUAACUCGUCGUGGUCAGUCUCUUUCUUCUUCUUAUGAAUCUAAACUGUGUAUCAUUCGAAUAAUCUUUUGACAAAUUUGAGUUCAAGCUGGAUAUCAAAACCUCUUUUGGAGAUUAAGUAUCAAUUGGAUACCGGCGCACUUGUGGAACAAGGUUCGAAGAGUCACUUUUCCACAUUAGAGCGACUCUUGGCAUGGGAGAAGAAGCUAUACCAGGAAGCUCGUGAAGGGGAAUAUAUGGAGCAUGAGAAGAAGCUAUCGAAUUUGCAAUCUUUGGAAUACAGGGGAGGUGGAGAAGCUAAUUGGACAAGACAAAAGGCAUCUAUAAAGAAUUGGUUUAGGAAUGAUUACAGGGAAAGCAUGGAAGAGCCGGAGCAAUGGAAUUGAAGUGGCAAGCAGUAAAGAUUUGGCAGUGUUCUUUUGCUUGUUGUUGUCAUCAGUUGGAUGAAGUGGUAUUGGCAUAAGAUGAUGAAGUUGAGUUGAGAAGAUAGACAUGAAAUGGUGAGUUGUAGGUGCAGUUUUGGUGUUGGGAUGUUUGAACUGGAGUGGCUUGAACUGUGCAGUGAAUGAAACUGAGAUGCAGCUACCGAUGAUGCAAGAAAAUGAGAUGGUGUUGUUAUUUAUGAAGCUACAGAAUGAAUUUGAUAUUGCAGCUGCAAUUGCAAUGGAUGCAGUGGACUGAAAUGAGUUUAGAAGAUCAGUGCUGGUGAAUGCAGUUGCAGAUAAUGGUGGUAUUGAUCUGCAAAUUGAGUUCAUGCUGAGAUGGAACUGAAGAAAUGGGUAGCUGCAGUUGGUUUGUGUUGAUUUGGUGUGAAGCAGUGGUCAGGGAACUGUAGGUGCUAAGGUGGUGCUGCAAUGAAGAAAAUGGGAGAGCUAGAUAUUGAGAUUGGGAAGAUGUGAAGCUGUCGCAGCUGUGGAAUGUGGCUGAACUGAAGUUGUGAUGCACAAAUCCGCAAUGAGGCGCAGCAGGAGCUUAGGCCUUGGCAAAUUGGACCAGUCAGCUAAGCUGACUCUGACUCACCAUCUGACUAGACAUUGACUCCGUUCUUGACCGGGUUGACUCAGCUGACCGGAACGGAUUGACUCGUUUGACCGGUUACCGGAUGGACUUUGCCGGCCACCUAAGCUACUUUCCCGACCAACUUUUAGCGGUCGAACAUCUCUUUUACAAUAUAUUUUUUCAUUUACAAAUUUGAAUCCAUUUAAUAACGCAGUGGUGUCGUUUCGUCAAGUUCUUCGGUCGGCCCUUCUACCGUGGCAACGGUUGUGCUAGUAUCUAUGCUUAAUAGACGAUCAAAUGUUCAUGAAUCGAUUAUUAAUUGUGACAAUUAAAAAAAUGUUGAUUUUGAUUUUGAUUUUU